rnacentral:misc_RNA from 1 species
CCAUAAGCUAGUUGGAUGCAAAAAAUGGGUUCCUGUGUUGCAUACCUAUUGUGAUGGAAAUUUGUCCAUUUCGUUGUCCCUUUCGUCAUGACAUCCUUUUGGAUGCUUUGUCGGACUAGAUAGUAGGGCUUGUGUUCCAUGAACCAUCUCAUGUGAUCGUUCGGAUGGACCAUGAGUGCUUACUCGUUCUCUCGGAUGCGGAACUCUCUUCAUGGGUAUGGGGUCAUUGCCCCUUGUUCCCAAAUAUUUAAGCGUUCAUCGCUUUACUGGAAUGACGCUCUUGCCUUGUCUUGGACCAUGUGGAGCUUUCGGGAUUCAUGAUGGAUCAUGCUUGGCGGACGUCGUGAAGGAAUGC